GCAUAGCUUUCUGUGUCGCUCGUUUACUUUGUGGAGCAAAUUAAUCGAGCGACACAGAAAGCUCUGCG
rnacentral:pre_miRNA from 1 species